CAGGAGCUCCACGUCUAACAGAAGGCAGCAGUAAAACAUGUGAUAUUCUAUGGUUGAUGGUGUUCUGCUGGUGGAGACUAACAGGGUGGAGGCCACCACUCAGAGAGACAGAGAGUCCCUGGAGUAGAUGGCCUGGCAUCCAGUUUUACUGCCCAUAUGAUUCACAACAGCACCUUCUCACGUCACUGAAAUGUCUGCAGCAUUUCCUGUAAUUCCUGAAUAUAAAGCAUGAAUCAGCCAUGUCUGUGACUUUCUGUCUCUAUCUACAGUUAUUUGAACAUUGGCUUUUAUCCUUCAUUUAAUGACUCCUUUUCUCAUGCUGGAAACAGCCCGUAUGUCUCUGGGAUGCACCAGAUUACGUUUGGCUGCCUGUGCAUGCAGGGUGUGAUCACAUGUCCAAUUGUCUCCAGAAGGAUUCCCAGGCCUGUGGAUACCUCGCAUUUAUCCCAAUGUCAGUUUCCAUUUCCAAAAGCAGGAUUGGUGCGCUGCAGAGGACUGGGGUCGAUUCUACGAGCCACUCAGGGUUCCUUGAAGGCUAGCCACUGUCGCGGUUAGGCCGCCCUCGGUGGUGAGAUGAUGGCUCUAUGGUACAGCUGCUGUAAGUCAGAGGCGGUCAGAUGGUCUGGAGGUCUGCCACGGCAGCAGCCGCGCUGAGGGGAAAAAGACCUGAUGAAAUCGGCCAAAGAUUACAAAGACUCGCCAGUGCAACAAACGCGUCUUUGUUCCACGGUAAAGGCAUUCUUGACUCUCAUGCUGUGGUAUUUACUGCCAACACGCUUUGCUUUUUACUUUCCACCGCGCUGUCUGCGACCAGGUCUGUGUGUCUUGAGGUUGGACCUGAGGGGACGGUGACACCCAACGAACAUAUGAUCUCUGACUCAAACCAAAUUACCACUCCAAGACGGGAGGUUAGCCACGGAAUGUCAAUGGCGGUUAGCCUUACGUUGGGCUCGGUGGAGCACUCGAGCGAUCAUUCCCAAAAGAACACAAAGAACUCGUGUGAGUUACAGCUGGAAAGAUGAAGCUCAAUAGCAUCGCAGGCCCAUGAACAGAAGAGUUCCAUCAAAAACAGAAAGAUUUUAAAGUGUGAUACUUUGUCCGAAAUAAGUCAAAGGCUUACUCUGUAAGACACAAAGUAUGGUAUCCAGACGAGCUCUGAUCAGAGACCUACCCCAUAAUAAACCGGAUGCGCUCCGAAGGGACUUGUGGAGCCGGUACAUUUCCAUUGAAAUCAAUGCAUAGACUGCAGCACACACAGCCUGAGCCCUCCCAGAGAAUACGUACAACUUCUGUUUAAUAAAAUAACUAGGAAUCUAACUUGAAUGAACAUGAGCAAUCGCCCGCUAGCAUCAAAGCUAACUGUUGCUUGUCAAAUAUUCACAAAUCUGUG
rnacentral:lncRNA from 1 species